rnacentral:ncRNA from 1 species
CGUCCGGGCAACAGUGCCCGUACGCCCGCCCCGGUACCUGGUACGGCCGGGGGUCGG